CCUACGGGUUGCACCAGUGGGGAAUAUUGGACAAUGGGCGCAAGCCUGAUCCAGCCAUGCCGCGUGAGUGAUGAAGGCCUUAGGGUUGUAAAGCUCUCUUGUCCGGGAAGAUAAUGACUGUACCGGAAGAAUAAGCCCCGGCUAACUUCGUGCCAGCAGCCGCGGUAAUACGAAGGGGGCUAGCGUUGCUCGGAAUCACUGGGCGUAAAGGGCGCGUAGGCGGACUCUUAAGUCGGGGGUGAAAGCCCAGGGCUCAACCCUGGAAUUGCCUUCGAUACUGAGAGUCUUGAGUUCGGAAGAGGUUGGUGGAACUGCGAGUGUAGAGGUGAAAUUCGUAGAUAUUCGCAAGAACACCAGUGGCGAGGGCGGCCAACUGGUCCGAUACUGACGCUGAGGCGCGAAAGCGUGGGGAGCAAACAGGAUUAGAUACCCGCGUAGUC
rnacentral:rRNA from 1 species